AAGUGGAACUUUAGUCAUUCUAUAUACGUAGAGCCAAAUUCACUCCAUAUUCUUACUCAUCAACAAAGACACAGGAUAGUGAGGGAGAACCAAUAAUAAUUACUAAGACAAAUUAAGAAGAUAUUAGUAAGUAGAAAAGGGAGGAGAAAUUAAACACUAUAUAACGAGGACCACUUGUGGUAGUGAGGGACAACCCUCGGAGUAAUAUCAUGUGAGUUUGUAUCUAAAACAGUUUGUCUUGCAGCCAUAUUCAGCUUCUUCACUUCAUGAGGAGAACCAUAGAGGAUAGAGCAAGGUGGCCCUACGAUCCCUUGUUUUUUAAAGUGCUUAGUCAAGGCAUAUGGCCUCCAGAGAAGAAUCCUACAGAUUUGCAAAAUCUUUGAAAUAAGAAAAAGUAUAGAAGCUAUUAUGACAAUAGCAGGAAGGUAAUCCGUUGGAAUGAAAGAGAUGUGUAUUAUAGCUAGGCUGAAGUGAAGGAAUAUGUUUAGUCCCGAAUGAGAAUAUAUAUAUAUAUAUAUAUAUAUAUAGAAAAUUUUAUCCAUCUUUUGAAAUUGUAUUUUAAAAACACGAUUUCAAAUUCAAUCAUGUAGGGAGUUUGCGUACGGUGAAGGUGUAAUAAGUAACAUGCGGCUAUCAUUAGUCAUUGCUCAUACACAUAAUCGGAUGUGGCGUUGCGCUGUUCUAGCUGUUUGAUGGUUGCACGCCACGUAGACAUGUGCUGAGCCAGCUGAGGUCAUUGCUGAGGUGAAAGCCAUCGUGUUGGCAAUUCUCUUAGCUGUCUACUUCUUUGGAUUAGCAAGGUAUAUAGAUAGAGCAGGUAAGUUUUUUGUGGCUAUACUUGCACGCUGCGGUUCAUAAUUUCCACCGUCCAAAUAAAGCAUUAUUUUUUGACUU